GAACAUGAGGAUGUGAACCUGAGUAAGACGGAUCUCUACCCAAAGGAGCAUGGUCUAAUAAACAGAGAAGGCUCAGGAGGGUCAGAAACACGGUGCCUCAUUUCUCAGCCUACUUGCCAAGAAUUCCCAAAAAGGAAGCACUGGAGGAUCAUUCCAAGGCUUGAGGUCCAGGACUACCCACUUCCCUUGGAAUGGUGUUGCCAUCACUGUUCUGGCACCGGAGAAAGGAUUCUACAUCGUUAGGAGAAAAGAAAAAGGAGAAUUUGGGCUUGCACUGAGAGGAUUACCUUUGGUGGUCUGGAAGUGGUGGCUGCACAGGGAGCAUGGCUGGGAGGCCUCAGGAAACUGACAAUCAUCAGUAGAAGAUGAAGAGGAAGGAGGCGCAUCUUACAUGGCCAGAGAAGGAGGAAGAAUAAGAAGGGAUUCUCCAGCUGGAGCCCUAUAAAUUGGACUGACAAAAGACAGAUUAGCAAGAGAAAUGCAAGCAGCAGUUUAUUAACAUGUGCAUCAUGAUUACACAUGGAAGUACCCAGAGGUGUUUCACACAGCAAAGCCCAGGAGCACAGGUCUUGCAGCCUCUGGAUAACCAACUCGUCUCUCACCAGUGGUUCAAAAAAGCCCAUGCUAUCCUCAUCCAAAUAAACUUAUGAAAUGCUUUACCAAAUGAUUUGUUCAGAACAGUGAAUACUAGACACAACUUUGUGUGGAACAAGAGGAGAUCCAGUAAUGACAAUACAUCUUUUGUUAGAAAGACUUACAAAGGCUGUGACAUUCUUCUUUGAAGUGUUGUCAUUGUGUUGGAUGGGAUGAAGUGGUUCUAGGACACACAAAAAAGGAUCAAGAACAUCUGAGAAGACUACAGAUAAGUCCUUACUGCUGAUUUUGGACACAGGUCAGCCAUAUGAAGAUUCAGAUGAGCAGUCUGUGCUUCCUUUGCCUUAUCUCUCAAGAGCUGAGACCUUAUUUCUAUUCCACCUUGAACAAUUUUGUUUGAGUACAACAUAUUUACUGAUAUGGUCAGCUCAAGUCAUUGUGGAAUGAAUACUUAGAUGCUGCGUUCUUCCAAAAACUGAGCAGAACCUCCCUUCUGUGAACAUUUUCAAUAGGUUGUUUUCAAGGCUGUUAAUGGAGUAGAAGUCAUUCCUGUGGCUGGCAUAUCUGAACUGCCUGCAUAUCAAUAUCUGUUGAGACAUAGCACCAAAUAAUCAUUCGAAGCCCAGAAGUGAAUAAGAACAAUCCAUUCACGCGUGGGACAUUUAUUGGAUAUCGUCUAUUUUAAAAACAUUGGCUCAUCACUCUGGGAUAUGAAUAAAAAAUUAGAGGAGAAAAGAUGAAUAUAAAAACAUAUGGUAACUGAAGAAGGACUGAAGAGCUGAUGGCAAGGAUUCUGUCUCAGGUGUUUCCAAAGGCAGAGAGAGUCUACGAGUCAAUUCCAAAGACAUGUGUUCUCCCUUCCUCCAAUUCAGCUACCACCAAGGCUCCACCUGGCCCUUUAGGGACUCACGCUCCACUUACAUUUCUGGGAGGAGAACAAAACUGGUUCUUCCUUAGGAACCAAAACAGUAACAUGGGCCCUGUGCUGAUCUGAAAGGUAUUUUUAUUUAAGGAAAAGACUUGGCUUUUUUCAUGUUAAGGUUAAAUAUUUUCUCUGGGGACUGUGAUGAACACCUCCUGAAAAGUAAAAAUCUAACGGUGUGUGUGUGUGUGUGUGUGUGUGUGUGUGUGUGUGUAGGUGUGUAGGACGUUUUCUCUAGAAUUCUAAAAUUUCUUUUCUUAGGUAAUAAUUUUCACAUUUGCUAAGUUCUGAAUGAAUCUAAACUAUUUUGCUUUGAGUUUGUCUUCCUAUUACUAAUCCAUUUUCUGCUCUAGAAGAUUUUGAAGAUAAGGUAGGUUUUGAACUUAGCCCACUGACUGCCAAGCAAUAGUCAUUUACAUGGAAAGCAAAAAAAAGAAGUUAUUGGCAUCAGAAUUGACUCAGUCAUUAAAAUAUUCCACACCUAGAUUUCUCAAAGAACUAAAAACAAAACUACUAUGUGACCCAAUCUCACUACUGGGGAUACACCCAAAGAGAAAGAAGUCAUUAUAUCAAAAAGAUGUCUGUACUCAAAUGUUUAUCACAACGCUGUUCACAAUAGCAAAGACAUGGAAGCAACUGAAGUGUUCAUCAGUGGAGGACUGGAUAAAGGAAAUGGGAUAGACUAUUCACCAUGGAAUACUUGUCCAUCCAUAGAAAAGAACAAAAUCAUGUCUUUUGCAGCAGCAUGGAUGGAACCGGAGGCCAUCGUCCUAAGUGAAAUAACUCAGAAACAGAAAGUCAAAUACCACAUGUUCUCACUUAUAAGUGAGAGCUAAACAAUGAGUACACAUGGACAUACACAGUGAGUGGAAUAAUAGACGCUGGAGUCUACAGAAGAUGGGAAGGUGGGAGGGGCUUGACAAUCGGAAAGUUACCCAUUGGGUACCAUGUUCUCUA
rnacentral:lncRNA from 1 species